rnacentral:rRNA from 1 species
ACGGAGGGUCCAAGCGUUAUCCGGAUUUAUUGGGUUUAAAGGGUACGUAGGCGGAAUUUUAAGUCAGUGGUGAAAGCCAACAGCUCAACUGUUGAAUUGCCAUUGAAACUGAAGUUCUUGAAUACAAUUGAAGUGGGCGGAAUAUGUAGUGUAGCGGUGAAAUGCUUAGAUAUUACAUAGAACACCGAUAGCGAAGGCAGCUCACUAAAUUGUUAUUGACGCUGAGGUACGAAAGCAUGGGGAGCGAACAGG